rnacentral:ncRNA from 1 species
UUGAGCCGUAUGAUGGGAAACUAUCAUGUACGGUUCUUAGGGGGGAAAGCGCCCGUAAGGGUGCCGACCUACCCGAU